AGUCUGACGCAGCGACGCCGCGUGUGGGAUGAAGCUUUUCGGAUUGUAAACCCCUUUCGACCCGGACGAAUGGCCCGCAAGGGACGUGACGGUACCGCUAGAAGAAGCCCCGGCUAACUACGUGCCAGCAGCCGCGGUAAAACGUAGGGGGCCAGCGUUGCUCGGAAUUACUGGGCGUAAAGGGUUCGUAGGCGGUGCGGCAAGUCGGAAGUGAAAUCUCGGGGCUUAACCCAAAGGCUGCUCCCUAAACUGCCGUGCUCGAGUGCGGGAGAGGCGAGUGGAAUUGCCGGUGUAGCGGUGAAAUGCGUAGAUAUCUGCAAGAACACCCGUGGCGAAGGCGGCUCGCUGGACCGCUGCUGACGCUGAGGAACGAAAGCUAGGGGAGCAAACAGGAUUAGAACCCCCUGGUAGA
rnacentral:rRNA from 1 species